rnacentral:lncRNA from 1 species
CCAACUCCUUAAUUCCUCAAGCUUUGAGAAUUUUAGAGAUUUAUACUGGAAUUUAGGGACUUAGCCAUGAAGUUUUAGAUGUAUUUACGCAUAUAAAGAGAGAUAACUGAAAAUCCACCCAAGGUUUGUGCUCCUCCUGUAUAGUACAGAGUUGUUUCUGAAAAGUUGUUUCCCAAUCAGGGCCCAGCUCUGGUGUGAUCCUGUGACUGAGUUCUGGCCAAUGGAGUGGGAGCAGAAAACAAUUCAUGCUACUUUCAGCCAUAAGAACUUCCUUUAGAACCUUCAUUUCUCUUCUUCAAGCUGACCUUGGGAGCGAAGUGUUGAAGAUGGCAGAGCCUCUAUCAUUCUAGAUCUUUGAAGGACUCCAUGGAGCACACUCCUAUUUCCUUCAACCCCCUCUUCUAUCACAUUGUGAUGGGGUAUUACAGGAGUGGGAAAUAAGUCUCUCUUCUGAAUUUCCAUAUGGAUUGCAGCCUUGACAUGGAAAAGUGAAAAUCAAUUUGGAUGCACAGCAGGCCCAGAGCAUAAGAAGUGACAUGGAGAACUGUAUCCUGGGGGAAGGGUGAGAGAAAGGAGAGUCUGCAUGUAAUGAGACCAGAAAUCAAAGGCGGAAUGAAUGAGCUGAAACCUCUGUGCACAAGAAGCCCAGCAGAGUAGCUAAAGAUGGAGGAAUCUGUAGUCACCUUUGACUCCCAGGCCACACUGGGCUUCCAUAAUGC